rnacentral:lncRNA from 1 species
AUGGCAGGGAAUUUUUUUUUGGGGGGCUCCAGCUUUGUUGUCCCACUGGUUUUCCUGGGAAUUGCACUGCUCCAGCUGAGAAAUUGCUCCAGAAUUCCUUCUGGGAAGCAAUUUUUGGUGCUGCUGGGCGUGAGGAUUAGGAAGUAUGGCAUCAUGGCGUGGUUUGUUGUCACCACUGAGGGAUUGGUUUCAGUGGGAUCGAUUCCCUCUCAUCCCAGGAAGCGAAAGAAUGAGUUGGGAAAGGAGCAGGGGAAGCCAAAGGUGCUCCCAAUGAAGAAGAAAAAGAAGGAGGAGCUGGAAUCCACAGUGAAGACUUCCACGGUAAAAGGGAAGAAGGAGAAUCCAUCAGAAGUCAAGGAAAAGCCAGUGCAGGAGAACAUCAUCAGCAGCUCCCUGAAGCAGGAGGCUGCAGAUGGGGAAGGCUGGAGCCUCUGCCAUGGUACCCAAGCCCAGCAGGGAGCUGCAUCCGGCCUGGUACGUGGAGCUGGCUGGGCUGAAGGACUGGGGGGCAUUCCUGUGCUCCUGAAAGCAGCUUUUGGGCAUCUGCAGUUACAUGAAGGGAUCAAUUAUCCUGGUUUUGGGGUUGAGUCCAUCACACUUUGGUGUUGGCCCAAACUGGCACCAGUGGGGAGCACUGGGAUGUGAGUGACUCUCACCUGCUAAGCAGGAUGUUGGGAUUGGGAAUCUCUUCCUCAGAAAUUUGGGUUUUUUUCACUGCUUUCCUUGUUCCUGCCCCCCUGGCAGUGUCCAAGGCCAGGCUGGAUGGGGCCUGGCUCAACCUGGGAUAGUGGAAGGUGGGGGUGAAAUGAGAUGACCCUUAAAAUCCUUUCCAACCCAAACCAUUCCAUGGUCUUUGGCUGGUGCUGGGAGAGCACAAAUCCCAGCAAAUUCCCACUGCAUUUUGCUUUUCCUGUGUUAACUUGCCCUCUUGGUGUAUAAAUCCAGCAGAGACGCUUUUCCUUUUUCCCUUCUUUCCAUCCCUCUCACAAACAGGAUCCCAAAUAUCCCCAACCUCUGCUGGGUGGAUCAAAUUCAAGGUGCAGCUUUGAAACCCCCCCCAAAUUGUGUUCCUGGAAUUCCUGGCACAACCACCAGGCCCCUUUUUUUUUUUUUGCAGGCAAAAACGACUUUGGGAGGUCGUGGCUCUUCCCGAGUUUCCCAGCAGGGUUUCUGAAGGAUUGUGAAUCCAAGAGCAGGAGUGUUCCCAGGGAAUGAAAGUUUAUGUGGGCAUAACCAACCUGUAAUUAACUCAGGGUUUGAUUUGCCCCUUAAUGAGUCCACCCAGCAGCUUUUCAGGAAAAAUCCCUGUGUGGUUUUUGGCUUCCCUUGGAAGCCUUGGGAAGAGAAACUUGGGGAGGUCAGGGUUUAGAGUGAGAGCCCCAGUGCUUGGCAAGCCCUGGGCGAGGCUGGCGUGAGUUUUGGGAUGCCUUGUGAGGUCAGGAGCAGGAGAAGAUGGUUCCAGCUUGGGAAGCAAGUGUGAAAACAGGGGGGGAUGGGAUUUCUGGUGGCUUCCAAGGGACAGAAUUUAGGGCUCUGUGUCCUCUCCACGCUCAGUUUUCCCUAUUUUCCCUAUAUUUUGAAUUUUUUUUUUCCUUUCUCCCGGGUUUCUGGUGGCCUCCAUGGGUCACAUUUUAGGGCUCCAUGUCCUCUCUGAGUUAAUUUUCUUUUAGGUUCCCAUUUUUUCAAUUUUUUGAAGUUUUUUUUUUUCAUUUCUCCAGGAUUUCUGGUGGCCUCUGUGGGCCAAAUUUUAGGAAUCUCUUUCUGUGUCCUCUGAGCUCAUUUUCUUUUACCUCCUACCCCCAUUUCCCAUAUAUUUUGAUUUUUUUUUUCCUUUCUCCUGGAUUUUUAUUGGGCUCCUACCCUCAUUUCCCAUAUAUUUUGAUUUUUUUUUCCUUUCUCCUGGAUUUUUAUUGGCCUCCAAGAGUCACAUUUUAAGGAUCUGUUUGUGUCCCCUCUGAGCUCAUUUUCUUUCAGAUUUUUCUCCCCAUUUUCUGUGGUGUUUUUUUUUUUCUUUUUCCUUGCUUUCUGCUCAUCCUCAUUGUAUUUCCCACCCCAUGGCUUUGCUCCCCACCUCUCUUUCUCUCUUGCCAUCUGCUGCAAGGGUGAUUUCAUCUUCCAAGCACCUGGAAUUUGAUCCAUGUUUAUUUUGGAGCCCUCCCAUCCCUUCUGUUCCCUGGAUUGCUCUCCCAGCAGUGCUUCCAAUGAGCAGGUGGUUGAGGGAUUUUUCCUGUAUUUAUCCAUAAAAUUCCUUUAUUGUGCUGUUGGAAGGAAACCAGGGAUUUCCUAACCCCAUAAAACCUCAAAACUUGGGGAAACCUGAUAUUUUGGGUUCCUGGAUUCCAGCUAAAGGGGCAGAGGGAGGAAAAAGUGCUGGUUUGAGGGUGAUGCUGUGCCAGGGAACCUUUCCCAAAUCCUUGAUAUUUUCCAGGAGGAGACCAAAGCAAACCCCCCUCAAGGGCCACCAGUGGGGCUGGAAGACUCUUCUAGGUGAGUUGGGUCAUUUUUUGGGUUACUUUUCUUCCAGAGAACUGGAAUUUUGUCCUUUUUCUCCUCCCUGUGGAGCUGCACAUUCCUGGUUUUCCCCUCCUGGGUCGCUGGUGCCUCCCCAGAGCAGCUUCCCCACAUCCUGGUGUUUUCUGAGACAAAAUUUGAGGAAUUUGAGGCUCAGCCCUGGCAUUUGAGGGUGGAGAGGGAAGUCCCAGCCCCAUCCACCCUCCCCAGCCAGCAGGGUGUGAUUGCUCAGGUGCACAUUCCUACAUAAAUUUGGGGAAAUCCUGGUUGGGGAACAACCACCCUCCCAAAUCCUGGGCAAAGGCAGUUCUUUCCCUCUGGAUCCUGGCAGAGAUAGGAAGCAAGAAUUCCCUAAAGCUGGCUAAUCCUCUCAGAAAUUCCCAGUUCUCUAAUAAAACCUUUGGAGGAAGGAGCCAGUCCCAAAAGGUGCUGGGAUUUUGCUUUUUUGCUCCCUGCCAAUGGCCUUGGAGGGGCUGAGCGUGUUUUGCAGGAUGAUUUUUCCCUAAGGAGUUUAGUGGGGAUUGUGUUUUUUUUUUUUUUUUUUUUUUUUAAUGGGGGGGGGGGGGGGGGUGGGGAUUGUGUUUGUUUUUUUUUUUUUUUUUUUUUUUAAUUGGGAACUUGUUUCCCUCCCAAGCCAGCUCGAAGACUUUCCUUGCUUUGAUGUCCCACAGCCUGGUAAUUAAUUAUCUGCUUAAAUUAAUUCAUAGG